rnacentral:rRNA from 1 species
CUACGUGCCAGCAGCCGCGGUAAUACGUAUGUCACGAGCGUUAUCCGGAUUUAUUGGGCGUAAAGCGCGUCUAGGUGGUUAUAUAAGUCUGAUGUGAAAAUGCAGGGCUCAACUCUGUAUUGCGUUGGAAACUGUAUAACUAGAGUACUGGAGAGGUAAGCGGAACUACAAGUGUAGAGGUGAAAUUCGUAGAUAUUUGUAGGAAUGCCGAUGGGGAAGCCAGCUUACUGGACAGAUACUGACGCUGAAGCGCGAAAGCGUGGGUAGCAAACAGGAUUAGAUACCCCGGUAGUCCUGGCCGUAAACGAUGGGUACUAGGUGUAGGAGGUAUCGACCCCUUCUGUGCCGGAGUUAACGCAAUAAGUACCCCGCCUGGGGAGUACGACCGCAAGGUUGAAACUCAAAGGAAUUGACGGGGGCCCGCACAAGCGGUGGAGUAUGUGGUUUAAUUCGACGCAACGCGAAGAACCUUACCAGGUCUUGACAU